rnacentral:rRNA from 1 species
CACGUAGGGACCAAGCGUUGUCCGGAUUCAUUGGGCGUAAAGAGCUCGUAGGCGGUUCGAUAAGUCGGGUGUGAAACCUCCAGGCUCAACCUGGAGACGCCACCCGAUACUGUCGUGACUAGAGUCCAGUAGGGGAGCGUGGAAUUCCUGGUGUAGCGGUGAAAUGCGUAGAUAUCGGGAGGAACACCAGUGGCGAAGGCGGCUACCUGGCCCAUUCUUGACGCUGAGGCGCGAAAGCUAGGGGAGCAAACGGG